GACGAACGCUGGCGGCGUGCUUAACACAUGCAAGUCGAACGGAAAGGCCCUGCUUUUGUGGGGUGCUCGAGUGGCGAACGGGUGAGUAACACGUGAGUAACCUGCCCUUGACUUUGGGAUAACUUCAGGAAACUGGGGCUAAUACCGGAUAGGAGCUCCUGCUGCAUGGUGGGGGUUGGAAAGUUUCGGCGGUUGGGGAUGGACUCGCGGCUUAUCAGCUUGUUGGUGGGGUAGUGGCUUACCAAGGCUUUGACGGGUAGCCGGCCUGAGAGGGUGACCGGCCACAUUGGGACUGAGAUACGGCCCAGACUCCUACGGGAGGCAGCAGUGGAGAAUAUUGCACAAUGGGCGGAAGCCUGAUGCAGCAACGCCGCGUGCGGGAUGACGGCCUUCGGGUAGUAAACCGCUUUCGCCUGAGACGAAGCGUGAGUGACGGUAAUGGGUAAAGAAGCACCGGCUAACUACGUG
rnacentral:rRNA from 1 species